CCCGGUAAUUCACACGCGAUUUUAUCGCUCCGUUUGUUGUGUCAGGCGUCGCCAUAGGCCACCUUUAAAGGAUAGGCCACUGGUAGCUUUAAAAGAUAAGCAUUGUGUGUAUAGCUUUUUUCCAAGAAAUAUGGGAGCGCUUCUUUUCAAGGCUGAGUGUGAAGAGGCGAUUAUAAUUCUGAACUUCAACUUACGUAUUUACUCGUCAUUAGAAAUUACUGUGUUUACAAAGCAUCAACCGCGCGUUUUCAUUCACAUUGUGGAAUGUAUAGACAUUGUUUUUAUGAUGUGUGGCUGAAAUUAUUGAAGCAAAUUGAUACAUUCUGGAUGUCAAAUAAGCGAAAAUACAAAUAUGAGGAAAGGUGUUGCAACACUUGUCUAGGAAGCAAAUAGAGGGAAUGCUCCACACUCUUCCCCAGCUCCAUUGCCCUUCUCUGGACACACUCCAGCCCCUCGGUGCCCUCCCUGAAUUGAGGGGCGCAGAACUGGGCACAGGACUUGAGGUAUGGCCUCACCAGUACAGGGAGAGCUGACUUCUCUUGGUACUUGUCCUGCAACUCAGCGGUGUUCAGACAGGGUCAGGGACUUCUGGUUUGUUCCAAGGAAGCUCCAGGUCAAAAUUAAAAAAUUGUCUGUUGUUGUUGCAUCAAAAUGUAAUAUUCUAAUAUAACUGGCAAUAAAUUAUGUUUUACAAUAAAGGUUUCUUACCACUGUAA